UACGUAGGGGGCUAGCGUUGUCCGGAAUCAUUGGGCGUAAAGCGCGCGUAGGCGGCCAGAUAAGUCCGGUGUGAAAGUCACAGGCUCAACCUGUGAAUGCCGCUGGAAACUGUCUGGCUAGAGUCCGGAAGAGGAGAGUGGAAUUCCGUGGUGUAGCGGUGAAAUGCGCAGAUAUCAGGAAGAACACCCGUGGCGAAGGCGGCUCUCUGGGGACGGUACUGACGCUGAGACGGCGAAAGCGUGGG
rnacentral:rRNA from 1 species